UGUUGGGUUGAUUGCAAGUCCCACAUCCUUUAGUGUGGGAGAAUAAGGAGAAGGCCAAGGCUAUAUAUUGAGUUUUGGUCAUUUGUUUUCAAAUGCACCAGUCAACAAUAGCACUUUAAGCUUGUAUCUGACUUAGUUUAAAUAUUUGCUUUGUAAGAGUGUGGUUGUGCUGGGGUGUCUGGGGUGUGAGUGAGAGAAGUCUAUGUGUUGUAACAAUUUUCACAUAGUAUUAAUUCUCUAGUUGCCGGUUUAGGCAGCGGCCGUGGUUUUUUCUCCGGUUUUGGAGUUUCCACGUUAUAUUCUUGUGUUGUGAUUGUGUCUUGAAUUUUUUAACUUAUGCUAUUUUUCCCAAUAACUGGUAUCAAGAGCCAAGGUUCGGAGGUUCGGUAGGAUAAUUUUUCUUAGUAUGCUCUGUGGUUGCAGUUUUGUCUGAUCUUCCACAUCAGAAAAGAAUUAUCGUUUUGUCUGAUCUUCCACAUCAGAAAAGAAUUAUCCUUGGUAUUGUUAGAGGAAAGGUGAUUCUGUGAAAGUGCUGCUUAGGGAGGUUCUGGCUAAGGAAAGACUUGGUAUUUAAGCGUGUCUGUUGUGACCCACCUCUCUUUCCUGGGAACUUACCUGGUGCACAGUUUACAGUCUGCGUGCAGCUGCUAUGUCUUAUUCAAGCGCUAUGAAGUUUGACAUAGAGAAGUUUGAUGGAAGAAUCAACUUUGGCUUGUGGAAAGUACAAGUCAAGGAUGUGCUUAUACAAUCAGGAUUACACAAGGCGUUGAAAGGAAACACUUCCAACAUGGAGGACGAC
rnacentral:lncRNA from 1 species